rnacentral:rRNA from 1 species
UACGUAGGGGGCAAGCGUUGUCCGGAAUCAUUGGGCGUAAAGCGCGUGUAGGCGGCCCGGUAAGUCCGCUGUGAAAGUCGGGGGCUCAACCCUCGAAUGCCGGUGGAUACUGUCGGGCUAGAGUGCGGGAGAGGCGAGUGGAAUUCCUGGUGUAGCGGUGAAAUGCGCAGAUAUCAGGAGGAACACCAGUGGCGAAGGCGGCUUCCUGGCCUGUAACUGACGCUGAGACGCGAAAGCGUGGGGAGCGAACCGG